AUUAUUUUAUUUUAUAAAUAGAUGAAUAUUUUUUAUUAAAGUAAAAAGCAAUUCUAUUUAUAUGAAAAAAAUUAGUUUUUUAAUAAACACUUCGCAAGAAAUUCUUUAUAUUUUGUUCCAAAAACCUAAAAAAAAUUAAAAUUCCCGCCCCUUAGGCCUCGCGCGCUAGCUAAAUUAAUUAAAAUUCCCGCCCCUUAACCCAACCUUUAAUUGUUUUGGUAUUGCUGCCCCUUUCUUCGCCAAACAUAACCUUCUCUCUAUUAACAGAACUCAAGCCCUAGUUUUCUAUUCGAUUCCUACUUCGACGAUGGACUUUUCAAUAUAUCCCAGCCUCUCUCUAUCUUAUCUCAUAUAUAGAUUACGGAAGACGAUUCAGACCGAAUCUCUCGCUCCACCUUCACUCACAAUCACUUCAUGAGCGCACAACCGUCAUCGGCUACUUCUUCAUCACCAUAGACGACCGAAGUUAAUGCUAGGCUUCCAUUUUUGAGUUUUGGUGUUGCUGCUCCUGGUAUGUCUAUAUCUAAUCUUUAACGGUCUACUACUGGGGAUUUGAUCCAUCCGCUCUUUACGUCAAUAUUUCACUCGACCUCUCUAUAACUAAUUGUUGGAUGGGCUCAUGUUACAAGAAUUCAAGCUCUUUUUGUUUAAGAUGGUUUAAGUAUUUUAUGUCCAGGUCUUUGAACCCUUUGUUUAGGAAUCUAUAGCUCAUUUUUGUCUAAGAUCUUGAAACAUUUUAUUUAAGAUACUAGCUUGUUUUGGCCCAAAUUAUUGGAGUUGAAUUGUUUUAGAAGCUAAGACUCAUUUUGUUAUGCGAUGGACUUUAAACAAUACAUUUUUUGGUUGGUGUAACUUAUGCAAUAUCAAGUAUUCAUUUGUUUGCAUAAUCGUGUUGAUGUGAUAAUUUUUUUUUUAUAUAUUAUUUCUUUUGUUUAUAAUAUUAAUAAUUUAUAGGUUUGUCAUAAAUUUUUAUUGUGCCACGAUAAAAUAUGUAUUCUAUUUUUGGUAUUUGUCACAAUAUAUAUUUUUGGUUAUUAAAUUAAAUUUUAUUUUAUUAAUAAUAGAAUAGCCACGG